GUGAAUCAUCAAAUUUUUGAACGCAAAUUGCACUCUCUUCGGAGAGUAUGCCUGUUUGAGGGUCAGUCUAAAAAAAAUCGACAUAGUCGCCGUCUCGCGGUGACAUUUGUGGGAAAUUGGGUCAUGUUAAACAUUUGGGUUUCAAGCGGCUUAAAACUUUCUUUAAGAUUAUACGACCGUUCUUAAGAUUUACUGACAAGUUUAAGGUAUCGAUUUUUAUUAGAUGUGGCCGUUGCAUUGGAUUACGUCCAU
rnacentral:misc_RNA from 1 species